rnacentral:tRNA from 5 species
CUCUGAUUAGCUCAGGCUGGUAGAGCACUCCGUUUGGGGCGGAGGGGUCGUAGGUUCAAAUCCUACAUCAGAGACCA